GGCGAGGGGGGCGUUACGCAGCCGGGAAGGUGAGAGACAGCGAUGCUUUCUCCUAGGGCCUGGAGCGCAAAAACCUUUGUCCCGCAGAUUUAACUAGCAGAUUCCCCAGGCUGAACCCCUCCGUUGGGCUGAAUUUAGCAGCAGAAGAGAUAACCAGGAGAUAAGGGCUGAUACCCGGGAGGAGAGAGCGGCAGGCGGCCGAGGAAAGAGGGAGAAGCUGGAGGCAGCGUUGGGAAGGGAUGCGUAUCCAGAUGUGCUGGGGUUUGGACACGCAUCUCCCUCUCCACGCCUUGCAAAAUCCCUGGCGAUUUUCUCGACAAAAGCCGGGCUUUGCUUGAAGCUUCGUUGAAUUCCGACUGAGUAUCAGCGGUUUCCUUAACAAAAAAAAAAAAAAAAAAAAAAAAAGGCAAAAAUCCAAUUAAAACCGAUUAAAACCGCCCGAGCAGCUCCACCAGGAGCAGAGAUGAUUUCAAGGACCUGCGUUGGCUUUGCCUCUUCUAGGAAAAACAACACUUAAAAAAUAAUCCCGUGGUCGGUUUUGCGUGUGCGUGGCCGGAUCCAGCCUCUUUCAGCGGGAAAAUACCGGUCCUGUGUGCCGAGCAUCGCGUCGUGGGGCGGGGAGGUGCUCACCCUGAAAAAUCAAUGCCGUGAGGAGCUGAGCCGACCCCCCAGCCUGGGAGGGAGAGGAUGGAAUUCAGACAAAUUUUAUCCCGAAAAAAAACAAAACAAAACAAACAAACAGAAAAAAAAACACAACCAAAAAACCCCAAAGGAUAGGACACCGCAGAGUGCAGCGACAAGAAAAAAUAAUAACUAAAUACCUGCUCUGCACUCGGAGGAGCUUUUUUUUUUUUCCUUCUCUCGCCCGCAAAACGAAGCGGUUAACGAAAUCUGGUUGAAAAUAAUCCUGCGGAACACACCUCGGCUUUUUCACUCUCUUUUCCAGACUCUUUUUUUCCCCUCUCAGGAAGGAAAUAAAUCGAUACGAAGCCGUUUU